AGAAUCAACGCUGGCGGCGUGCCUAACACAUGCAAGUCGCACGAGAAAGGGGAGCGAUCCCUGAGUAAAGUGGCGCACGGGUGAGUAACACGUGAAUAAUCUACCUCCGAGUGGGGAAUAACUGAGAGAAAUCUUAGCUAAUACCGCAUAACACUUACGAGUCAAAGCAGCAAUGCGCUUGGAGAGGAGUUCGCGGCAGAUUAGUUAGUUGGCGGGGUAAUGGCCCACCAAGACGAUGAUCUGUA
rnacentral:rRNA from 1 species